UGAAGAUUAGUGGUGGGAGGUCCGGCGUCCGGAGCUGGGGUACGUUCCAGGGGCGCGGAGGGUGACCCGUCCGCCACCCCCGGGGGCUCCGCAGGGAAACACACUUCCUCUUUGGAGUCGCACAGUCCGGCAGUCUCCAUCACCCGCUUGCCUCCGUGGGUUCGAGCCCAAAGAGCUGGGCGAAACCCUUGCUUCCCGCAAAGAAUAUUUCUGGGGAGAAAAACGGGAAAGACGACUUCCGUUGACUCUUGCUUUCGUGGUCAGCCCGCCGGUCACGCUGAUGACAUCUUAACUCUCCGUUUUGCAAGGAAGCAGAAGGCAAGCAAAGGCAUCCAAGUAAAAUUAUAAUUAAAUCUCACUGAUGCUCGACAAGCUGGAAAAUUUAACCCAGCAUCUUCUACAAUAAAAAAUUUCCAUCACAAGGAUGCCUGGGUGGCUCAGUUGGUUAAG